rnacentral:rRNA from 1 species
CCCUAUUAUUAGGAAUGUUAAUUUUUUGUGUCUGAGUAGUAUUAGUUAUGUUCUUGAAACUUAAAGAAUUUGGCGGUAUCUUAUUCCAUCCAGAGGAAUCUGUCUCGUUAUCGAUAGUCCGCGUUGGACCUUACUUAGUUGCUAUUGGUUUGUAUACCGCCGUUUAUUGAUGAUCUUUUUAGAGUUAUUUAAUUUUCCAGUUUCUUUAUUUUGAUUUAUUUCAGGUCAAGGUGCAGCUUGUUUCUAAGUGGUAUGAUGGAUUACAUUGUUAUUUGUUUAUUGGAUUGUUGAUUUUGAUAUUGAUAUGAAAUUGGAUUUGGUUGUAAUGUUUUGUAGAUUGUUUUCAUGAUAAUUGGUUCUGAGAUAUGUACACAUCGCCCGUCGCUCUCGUUUAUUUUUGUUAAUGAGAUAAGUC